rnacentral:pre_miRNA from 1 species
AUACUACUCCCUCCGUUUCAUAAUUUUUAUCGAAAUAUUACAUGUAUCUAGACACUUUUUAGGAAUAGUUACAUUUAUUUUUAAAUAAAUUUGAGAUAAGAAUUAUGAAACGGAGGGAGUACUCA